rnacentral:rRNA from 1 species
GACGAACGCUGGCGGCGUGCUUAACACAUGCAAGUCGAACGGUAAGGCCCUUCGGGGUACACGAGUGGCGAACGGGUGAGUAACACGUGGGUGAUCUGCCCUGCACUUCGGGAUAAGCCUGGGAAACUGGGUCUAAUACCGGAUAGGACCACUGCCUGCAUGGGUGGUGGUGGAAAGCUUUUGCGGUGUGGGAUGGGCCCGCGGCCUAUCAGCUUGUUGGUGGGGUGAUGGCCUACCAAGGCGACGACGGGUAGCCGGCCUGAGAGGGUGACCGGCCACACUGGGACUGAGAUACGGCCCAGACUCCUACGGGAGGCAGCAGUGGGGAAUAUUGCACAAUGGGCGCAAGCCUGAUGCAGCGACGCCGCGUGAGGGAUGACGGCCUUCGGGUUGCAAACCUCUUUCAGCAGGGAAGAAGCGAAAGUGACGGUACCUGCAGAAGAAGCACCGGCUAACUACGUGCCAGCCGCCGCCGUAA